rnacentral:tRNA from 1 species
CUUUCGAUAGCUCAGCUGGUAGAGCGGAGGACUGUAGAUCCUUAGGUCGCUGGUUCGAUUCCGGCUCGAAGGA